GAAACAUCCCUAUGGAGCAGGACUUGCUUCAGUGGGAUUUUGUUGCUCACUGUGUCUGCCCCUUGAGUGUGUUGUU
rnacentral:pre_miRNA from 1 species